rnacentral:rRNA from 1 species
UACGUAGGUGGCAAGCGUUGUCCGGAAUUACCGGGUGUAAAGGGAGCGUAGGCGGGAAGGCAAGUUGAAUGUUUAAGGUACGGGCUCAACCUGUACAAGCGUUCAAAACUGUUUUUCUUGAGUGGAGUAGAGGUAAGCGGAAUUCCUAGUGUAGCGGUGAAAUGCGUAAAUAUUAGGAGGAACACCAGUGGCGAAGGCGGCUUACUGGGCUUUAACUGACGCUGAGGCUCGAAAGCGUGGGUAGCAAACAGG